UGGGGAAUAUUGGACAAUGGGCGAAAGCCUGAUCCAGCCAUGCCGCGUGUGUGAAGAAGGUCUUCGGAUUGUAAAGCACUUUAAGUUGGGAGGAAGGGCAGUAAGCGAAUACCUUGCUGUUUUGACGUUACCGACAGAAUAAGCACCGGCUAACUCUGUGCCAGCAGCCGCGGUAAUACAGAGGGUGCAAGCGUUAAUCGGAAUUACUGGGCGUAAAGCGCGCGUAGGUGGUUCGUUAAGUUGAAUGUGAAAGCCCCGGGCUCAACCUGGGAACUGCAUCCAAAACUGGCGAAGUAGAGUAGGGCAGAGGGUGGUGGAAUUUCCUGUGUAGCGGUGAAAUGCGUAGAUAUAGGAAGGAACACCAGUGGCGAAGGCGACCACCUGGGCUCAUACUGACACUGAGGUGCGAAAGCGUGGGGAGCAAACAGG
rnacentral:rRNA from 1 species